GGCCAAGCAAUUUCAGCAUCGUCCGUGUACCCAUGAACCAAAAAGUCUGUACAGUUUUUCCGGAUUCCGUGGUUGUAUGGGUUGCGGAAGCGCCCUUCUGGUCCUCGAAGAUAUGAGUAGCGAGCAGCAUUUGCUAGCUCAUUAGUCGUGAUAUUCCUUGCAAUCUGUGACAUCUGUGCCACCGUCAAAGCAAAGGCUCCAGAAAACAAGAGAACAUCGAAAAC
rnacentral:misc_RNA from 1 species